GGACAGGGCCCAUCUGGCCAGGCUGGGCCCUGACCCCAGAGGGCCUUUCGGCUCCUGGGGGCCUGAACUCGAUCCUGGAGGCAUGUGGGUCACGCCAGCAGAGUUGUGCAAAACAGGAUUUUUCUCAGGAGUCGUCUGUGUAGCCACCGUGAGGGGGUGUCUGCAGAGCAGGCACAGCUGAAGGGCACAGGGCAGAGAGCAGCAGGUGGGGAGUGGGCUAGACAUAGCAGGCACGGCAGAAGGGCACAGGGCAGCGAGCAGCAGGUGGGGAGUGGGCUAGACAUAGCAGGCACGGCAGAAGGGCACAGGGCAGCGAGCAGCAGGUGGGGAGUGGGCUAGACAUAGCAGGCACGGCAGAAGGGCACAGGGCAGGGAGCAGCAGGUGGGGAGUGGGCUAGACAUAGCAGGCACGGCAGAAGGGCACAGGGCAGCGAGCAGCAGGUGGGGAGUGGGCUAGACAUAGCAGGCACGGCAGAAGGGCACAGGGCAGGGAGCAGCAGGUGGGGAGUGGGCUAGACAUAGCAGGCACGGCAGAAGGGCACAGGGCAGCGAGCAGCAGGUGGGGAGUGGGCUAGACAUAGCAGGCACGGCAGAAGGGCACAGGGCAGGGAGCAGCAGGUGGGGAGUGGGCUAGACAUAGCAGGCACGGCAGAAGGGCACAGGGCAGGGAGCAGCAGGUGGGGAGUAGGCUAGACAUAGCAGGCACGGCAGAAGGGCACAGGGCAGGGAGCAGCAGGUGGGGAGUAGGCUAGACAUAGCAGGCACGGCAGAAGGGCACAGGGCAGGGAGCAGCAGGUGGGGAGUGGGCUGCAUUGCACAGGUAGGCCUCGGGGUGCCCAGCAGACACCUGGGGAAACUGUCCAAUGGGCAGAA
rnacentral:lncRNA from 1 species